rnacentral:rRNA from 1 species
CUAUCAGAGGGGAAUAACAGUGAGAAAUCACUGCUAAUACCGCAUAAGCUGUGAGUAUCGCAUGAUACAAGCAGAAAAGGAGCAAUCCGCUGAUAGAUGAGCUUGCGUCUGAUUAGUUAGUUGGCGAGGUAACGGCCCACCAAGACGAUGAUCAGUAGCCGGACUGAGAGGUUGAACGGCCACAUUGGGACUGAGAUACGGCCCAGACUCCUACGGGAGGCAGCAGUCGGGAAUAUUGCGCAAUGGAGGAAACUCUGACGCAGUGACGCCGCGUGCAGGAAGAAGGUUUUCGGAUUGUAAACUGCUUUAGACAGGGAAGAAGAAGUGACAGUACCUGUAGAAUAAGCUCCGGCUAACUACGUGCCAGCAGCCGCGGUAAUACGUAGGGAGCAAGCGUUAUCCGGAUUUAUUGGGUGUAAAGGGUGCGUAGAUGGAUAUGCAAGUUGGUUGUGAAAUACCUCGGCUUAACUGAGGAACUGCAACCAAAACUGUAAAUCCUGAGUACUGGAGGGGAAAGCGGAAUUCCUAGUGUAGCGGUGAAAUGCGUAGAUAUUAGGAGGAACACCAGUGGCGAAGGCGACUUUCUGGACAGUAACUGACGUUGAGGCACGAAAGUGUGGGGAGCAAACAGGAUUAGAUACCCUGGUAGUCCACACCGUAAACGAUGGAUACUAGGUGUAGGGGAUGAAUA